AUGAACGUUGGCGGCGUGGAUUAGGCAUGCAAGUCGAACGCUUCAUGUAGCAAUACAUGAGGAGUGGCGUAAGGGAGAGUAAUACACAGUUAGCUGCCCUCGGGUCUGGGAUAGCGGCGGGAAACUGCCGGUAAUACCAGAUGAUAUCUUCGGAUCAAAGGUGUGAUUCCGCCCGAGGAGGUGACUGUGUCCUAUCAGCUAGUUGGCGGGGUAACGGCCCACCAAGGCUAAGACGGGUAUGGGGCGUGAGAGCGUGCCCCCACUCACUGGGACUGAGAUACUGCCCAGACACCUACGGGUGGCUGCAGUCGAGAAUCUUCGGCAAUGGGCGCAAGCCUGACCGAGCGACGCCGCGUGCGGGGAUGGAACGG
rnacentral:rRNA from 1 species